AUAAGAAGUUGAAUGUAAGCACGCUGACAGGCUUCUAACUGGGAAGUGCAUAGCAGAGCCUUCCCAAACAGCGGUUCAGAUGCGUUUGAAGCAUGUGUUACAUCUUAAAUGGAUAAAUCAUCUCGUCAGUAGGUUUGUGAGUGCAUGCUCUGUGAGCAUGUGUACAUGCUGAGGAUUGAACAGAGGGGUGCAUCUUCUUGCUCGCUAGGUAUCUUGAGACCUGGGCCAUUGUUGCUGUAGAAGGUCGGGUUCCCCGAGGGGCAGGAUGAACAGGAGGAUCAUGGAAUGUGAACCGUGUCCCACAGAAUUCCUAGUGUGGGCGAAUAGUUGGUUGUAGUGAUGAACAGAAAACGGAGAGAAUGAAGGCAUUUGUAUUUCAAUAGUUUGAAUCUGUUAUUUAUUUUCCUGCAAUCUGAGUACAGUCAUUAUUCCUUCUGUCAGUGGAUGGGGCUGGCUGCCUUGUUAAGGAAGGCAGAUGAUUAGAAGAGCUGUUCUUAUGAUACUAAGCAAUGAAGAGCUUCUGUGUCUUUGUGGCUUUAUCUUGCUGUCAGGUGACAAUGUGCACUUUCUGAUUUAUUUUAAAACCUCUGAUUCAGGAUUGUGGUGACUUGUAAAACUUCUUAAGUUGGAAAACCGAAAGGACAAAUCAUGUUUUGGAGCAUUUAAUAAAGGCUAGAAGUUUUGGGCAUGUAAAUGACUUGAUUUUUAAACAGUAUAGAUGCAUAGUAGCCUUUGUGUGGCCAUGAUGUCUAAGAACGGAUGCAGCAGUGAUGCCUUUGCUUAGAACAGGCAGCGUUCUUGUGGUAACCUACAACAGAAUGGAAUGCUGAUGGAGAAAAUCCCUGAGUUUUGAGUUGAUAUCUAUCAGAUCAUCAUUGAUAAGAAAUAGAGCUGCUAAAUUCAGUAUGGAAAUGCUAAUUUGAAGGAAAGCAGGAGUUACGAGAUAAUUGCUUUCUCGGGGAAAGAGAAGGAAUCUUUCCUGGCAUGUUUAAAUGAUUAUAUAAAGAGAGGUUGUAGCCUGUGGGUUGUGGAGAGCGUGGGAGAUGAUGGUGUGGCAGAAAAGCUCUGUCUGCUAUCUUCGAGAUGUUAUGAAUUUUAAUUCCUGUGUUUGUGGCUGAUAGGCAGUUCAUAGGUUUGUUUGAGGAUCAGGACUGAGAAUCAGAGACUGAGCAAUUGCCUUGUGAGAGCUGUUCUUGUGUUCCAUCAGUGGUCUGUGCAAGUUCAUUCUGGCCUCAGCAGUGACCCAGUUUCCGUGUUGGAUGGGAAGGUGACUUGUGCAUGGGAUGCAGCUUGGCAGGCAAGCCUGUGCGAGGCACUCAGGAGUGCUGGGACGGGAGCUCCUUGCAGGCAGGUGGAAGGAAAGCUUUUGGCAAGUUUUACUUAUUUUUUUCCUACCCACACGCUUCAUUCUUAUAAUAAGCUCAGCAAGGAUGGGAGGCAGUUCAAAGACUCGGAGGGAUGGCUUUGGGAAAAACUUCCUCUUUGGUACAACACUGUCACUUUCUUGAGAUUUUCUUUUUUCUUUCCUGUGUAUUUUUUGGAUGUCGUUUGAGAGCAAUGCAUACAAUGAGUUGAAGGUCUCCUUUUGUAUGAAAACUGUGUCUUACAUGGUGGCUUUGUAAAACACGUGGUGCAUUUCUCUGUUGUGCUGGCAGACUGCCGGGUGACGUCCUCAGAGUGCUUCUAAUUGGUGUUUGAAGGGCUGGUGUGCACUCUGCUGCUUGUGAAAACUGAUAAAAGCGUUGAACCUUCCAUUCCAGAGCAUAAAUGUCACUUCUGUGUUUGGGUGCAGCAUAGUCUGCACGGCAUAGUUAUUUUAAACAGUCUAUAAAAGUGACCAGUAAGGGGAUUGAGAAUGGGGUGAUCAUAUUUAUCCUGUGUCUGAGGGAAGUGCUGAUGGUAGAAGGGGAACAUCAUACGUGGAGGGUGGUGGGGUGAGCCUGUACUCAGCGUUAUAAAUGUGAGCACUGAACAUGACAAACCUGGUUUGCCUGUGUUCUUAGCCUUGAUGUGCCAAUGUGAAAGUGUCCUGUCUCAUUGCUAGAGAUGGCCCAGGCCUUUUUAGGAGGGUUUUUCCUCCUGUUUCACAGUUUCUUGUCAUUACAACUGUCACCUGCUCCAAGUUCUCACUUUCUGAUGUAUUUUACUUGAAAUGUGGUUAGCAGGUCUUAGAGAGUUCCUCCUUUGUCAGAGUUUUCUUGACUGAUCAGUUCACUGCCAUUUUUUUUUGUUGGAAAUAAGGUGUAAGCAAGAAGCAAGUAACAAUAUUGCCUCUUUAAUAGGAAAUAUUUCUUUACACGUUAUCUUGCUUGUUCUUACGAUAGGAAUUUUGGGGGCAGUAUAGAACUGAAAAAUUCUCUCAGCAAAAAAAAAAAAAAAAGAAUCACAAAACCUUUCCAGCAGACCAGCAGCAAAGCACUCUUGUGUGUGUUCCUAUGCAAAAAGGAACCUGUAAAACAAAUAAAAAAAAUUCCUGAUAAGAAUGUGUUAAUUGUAAGGAAAAAUUUGAACAGUCUGUCGUUGUGCUAAUUGUAAAGGUAAACCUCUGGUCUGUGUGACAGGAUGCUGAGACUGGCACCACGGAUCCGCAGAACACUUGGCUGAUGAGAGCUCUUACUUAGUCCUUAUAGUUUUGUUACAAAACUGUAUGACUUGAAGGUUUGCUUUUGUUGGUCUCCAUUUGUCUUACCAUGGUGUAGCACCUGAAGAGUUUUACUAAAUCCAUGAUUGGAUGCAGCUGUCAGCCCACAGAAGAGCUGCUUGAGUCUUCAGUAGCAGUGGUAGUUGUGUGGACAGAAACAAAACACUUCACGUGGAGUCUCAUCCAGACAGGAUGAAGAAUGGUGUGAGUGGAUGUAUCUGUGUAAACAGCUCUCUCUUGUAUAUGGAAAAUAUACAAGUAUAGAUUUGUAGGGGCUGGAGGGGACCUCUGGAGGUUCCAUCCCACCCCCUCUGCCAGGGCAGGUUCCCCAGAGCAGGCUGCACGGCGAAGUGCCCACAUGGGUUCGGAAUGGAAGGACAGAGGACAGUGCACCACCUCUCUGCACAGGCAGUUCCAGUGCUCCCGUUCAUCAAAGUAUCAAUCGUGUGAACACGCUGCAGUAACCUGCUGCAGUUCAGUAGCAGUUUAUCACAGCAGCCAGUGAGUAGUUAGUUGAAAUUCAUGUGCUCGUUAUUUUGCGUGAUCAUCGUUGUACUGACUUUGCCUAUUGUGGACAUCUGGAGUGUUGCUGUAUCCAUUAAAAUCAGUGGUGCAAUCAUAAUGGGCAUGGUGUUGGUUGUACAAGACUGAGGUCACGGGGGCAAGUGCACCAACACAUCUGUAUCUUCUGCUGUGAAGAGGUAAAUGCAGUCUCCUUCACACUGUGUAUUAAAUACAGUUUCUCUUCUGCAUACAGUUCCUUUAGCCUGGUAGUACUGUGCUUCUGAUUCAUAACUGCUGAUUUAUCGUGUUAAUUCUACUACCUUCUCUCACAUUGCCAUGAGUAAGCUAUGGGAAGCUAAAUUAGUUAAUAUAAGGAUAUGCAAAGCUGAGUAGGAAGUUGAAUUCAUGGAGCUGUCCUUGUUACCCGGGAUCACACGUACAGAAUUCCUUUGCUAAGUUUUCAGAGGAGAGUGUCAGUGGGAGCUGCUACAAGCAUGAGGCAGGCUCAGAAUUCAGAAGGAUCGAGGCAAACCAGAGAAGUGAUGUGGCAAACAGGAUGCAACCAAAAAAGAGGAGUGUGGUUUUCAUUUAGAGAGAAAUCAGCUACACAACCACGCAGUGAGGAGGCACUGGAGUGGUCGCAGGAGGACGUAUGUCAUAUUUUUCCUGGAGAGUGCUUCUCAGUAGAAAUGAAAGCGGCACUCAGCCCUUAGCUGACCCCAGACUCGUGGCAGCAGGGGCUCCGGUUUAUUAGACUUCGGUGUGUGGGCACUGGAGGCAAUUGAAGCCGCUCUGGAUUUGUUGUCUUUUAGUGGUACACGGGCUAUGGGUUGCUUGUGGGCCAGGUGUCCCCUGGUGGCUGCUCGGAGCGUUUGGUCGCUGAGUUACCAGCUCGUGAAUGCAGCCUCAGUAUCCCAGGUGUUUCUAUUACCACAAGGCGCAUCAAAGAUAACUGUGCCGUCCUUUCUCCAAGCCCUGGGCAUUUUUUCAUUUAAAACAUGCUGUAGAAACAGCUGAGCACACUUCAAAAUAGCUGUCUCAAGACUCGCAGCUGCUGCCAUACGUUGUUCACUGUAGGCAGCAAAGCUUGUGACUGAAAGAGGAUACCCAGGUUGGGCUGUGCUGUGACUUCUGCCUUGGCUGCCUCAGUACCUUACCGAACUUGAAUAGAUACAUUCGAGUAUAGAUAUGCUGCAUGAAAUCCAUUGUUAACUGGGCCAAAGCACGUAUUUUCUAGCCUUUAUGUUAAAAUGUUAAUCUAUUUGUAUGGAUCUCCAACAGUAGCUUGAAAAUGUAUCCUGCCAAGUGGCAGAAAGUCAGCUGUCAUUUUAAGUAUCCACUUUAUGCAUGACUGCUCCUAUACCUCUCUGAUAACUCAAGCAUUUGCAUAACCCGGCUUAAUUACAGAAAGUCAGUUUUAAUCCCCAGAUUAACAUGGCAAAUAACAUCAUUAAUAAUCCCAGUCAAAUCUUCUUCACAUUUUUUUAUAAGAUCACUGCUGUCCAUGCGUGCUUUCAGCACCAUACAAGUGUGCAGUGUGUGCCACCCUGCUGCAGCUAGUAGCUCUGUACGCAGCUGUUAGUUCCGUUUGCAGUGCCUGGAGCUGCUUGUGUCACCAUCAGUGCAAAGGGCAGCACCUUCGUCUUAGCAGUGCCGGUGCUAAUGUCACCCACGUAAAUUUUGUAAUCGUUACAACAAACGUGUCCCUAUGGAUCGCAGCGGGUUCCUCCAGAGGCUGCUUUGGAAAGCUGCCUGCCUUCUGAAUGAGAGCCAGCCAAGAAGCGUCGGCAUUUACGAGACAGGUGACAGAUCAGUGCAGGAGCUUCUGCAGGAAUUGUGGAGGAGAAGGGCCUGAGAUGCUUGGCAGGAAGGCUUCUGUUAGCCACGGAGAAGAACUGAGAGGCUUUUCUCUGUGUUUCCACCGCAAGGACAAGCGCUGUUUCGGUGAACAGCUUGCUGGACAGCAGAGCAAACACUCAAGCUGCCAUCUGGACAUGGCAUAUGUUCAGCAGGGUUUUUGGGACAGCCAGAGGCCAUCAAAGCUGGUCAGUGUCAGUGUUCAGCAAGGCUCUCAAGGAAGAAAUUCUGGCUAGAGUAGCUGAUUUUGGAGGAGAAUCGUACUGAUGGCCAAUGAGUGUUACAGCCUCCAAGGGGAAAAUUCAGCCUGGUGGUGGGGAGGAGGUGCACUGCUCCGAGCUGGUGUUUAAUCUGUGGAGGCAGCAUGUGCAGAGUGUGCAGGCACGGCCUGGGAGCCGGUGGCUGGAGCAGCUCAGUGGGAAGGGGCUGGGGGCACUGGUGGCAGCAGGAGCCAGCAGCGUGCCCUGGCACUAAGGGCAGACUGCAUUCUGGGUGCACUGAACACAGCAUGGCCAGCUGGUCAGAGGGGAGAAUCCUCCCGCCGUAUCUAGCACUGUGGUGGCCUCACCUUGAACACUGUGUGCAGCUCUGGGCUCCGCAGCGUGAAAGGGACGUUAAGGUCCUUGGAAGCAUCCCGAGGAGGACGCAGAGCGGGCAGCAGGGCUGGGAGGCGUGUGCUGUGAGGAGAGCCUGAGGGCACUGGGGUGGCCUGGUCUAGAGAACAGGAGGCUGAGAGGCGGCCUCACUGCGCCCUGCGGCCCCUGAGGAGGGGGAGCAGAGGGAGCUGCCGGGCUGUGCCCUGGGAAGCGGUGGUGGGAUGGGAACGGCACAGAGCUGUGCCAGGGGAGGGUGGGAGCGGGUGUCAGGAAGCAGCUCCUUACUGUGAGGGCGCGUGGUCACAGGGCGGGCAGGUGGGACUCGGGUUCUUCAAAGAGAAAAACCUCAGGAAGACCUGCAUCAGCUCGCGUUAGUGUGCUUGUCAUUUUGUUAAAGAGGAGUUUUCACAUGGGAAAACUGUGCAAAUCGGGUUACAGAAGCACUAAACACUAGAAAAUGUAAGGUUCUGUUUCACUAAGCCCUUAUUUAUGUGUGUAACAGACCCUGGAUGAAUCUUCAGCACUUCUGUGUCUUUUUCCUGUAGUGAUACUGCUCUCUGUAGCGGGUGUGGGCCAGUCACACUUCUAUACUAGAUAAACUUCUGUUUUUUUUAAUCUCCCCAUGGCAACUCAAAGCUGUAAGAAGGGAUUCAGCUUAUAAAAUGAUGACAGCAAAUUCCCUUCUUAGUAAAAGGAAUCUUAUGUAAAUGUUGCUGUAAACAUCACUAGAUGAGUAUUAUAAAUGGAUUGGAUGUGUGUUAGGAUAACAGUCUGCCUAAUAUUAAGCAAGCUGUGUAAGUAGGUUUGCCUUUUAUUUAAACUGGUCAUUAUAGGGCAUCACUUUGGAACCAUUGCCUAUUAUGCAACUUUUAUCCUGUCUGAUGUCUUUGAUUAAAAUAGUGAUAUUUGUUGAAUUUUCUUUAUUUGCACUUUUCUGGGAUGACUGUACAGUUUGCUUGUAAUCCACUUACCUGAAUUGUACAGAUACAGUGCAUGCUUGCUAAAAAAGGAAGUAUAGCUGCUUUUAACCCCUUCACCCAUUUAUCCUCAAUUUAUUCUGAAAUUUUAAUCCUGUUCCCUCUCUGUUCACUGUACUACUUCUUUAAUAUUAGCUGUCUAAGGAAAUGCUGAGGACAACAAAGAAAAUCUACAGUGUCAAUGUAAUGAGCGACUCAACAGCACAUGUAGUCACAGCACAGUAUACCUAGAAUGUUGCUUUUUGGCUGUUGAAUACAUUUUUAAUUUUGUUUCUCUGAUUCCUCAGGUAAAGGACAUCUCCACAUCUAAAGAGUUUUGUUCUAAUAAAUGGCAUUUUGAAUCCAUCGUUAUUUUUCAGGCUUCUGACGCUAUAGUUGAAAACAAGCAUCAGAACUUCUCAGAGCGAAAACCAGAACUGCUUUGAAGCUACUCGCUUAUCCUCUGUUGCAGAAGACCUGUUAUCUGAGAGACUUCUGUAUAGAUGUUGGAAGUUCUGGGGCAUAAGAUUGUAUUAAGAUAUCCACUUAUUCUGUCAGGCUUUUUUAUAGUAAUUCACUCCAUUGAAAAGAAAACAGUUCAGUAUUUAGUCUCAUACCUACUUAACAUUGGUUUCGUCCCAUAACUGCUCAAAGACAAGUUCCCAUAAGCCAUAUUUGUCUAAAAUCAUGUUUUAAUGUUGAACAGAAUUUGAGCAAGUAUAUAGAUGCAUAGUUUCCUAACAGCCAUCCAUCGUAAAAUAAAUAAAUAAUAAUUAAAAAAAAUCAUCAAAUCAAGUAGCUUAAGUAAGCAGCAGUUUGAGAUUAUAUCCCUAUUGUGUCCGACAACUAAAACAUAGAAGGCUUUAAAUAAAGGACCAGAAAAUUAUAAAUUUUAACAAACUAAUUCCACCAGCGAAACUUGUUAGUUGUUGUAGCUGCUCAUGGAACAAAUGUUCCAUUUACUUUGUGAAUUAUAAAACUAAAGUGAAGAGAGAAAGCCCACCAGCACACAUGGAGGACUUCUGUCUUCAGAUUCUUCUUCACUACUGGACAGCAUCUCUAAAAUCAGAUGCGCUGAGAUUCGUAGGAAGCCAGCAGGAAUCAGAAUGAUGUAAUUCCCAUAAAUAGGAGGAAAAAAAAUAUACAAAGGCGGAACAUGAGAAUCAAGAUGGAAUGUGGAAAGCAGCUUUUCAUUGUCCGAUGCAAAGAAAUGGAGGAGCAAUAUCACCACUUAUACAGGUCUUCAUGUGCAAGAAGAUCAAAAGCAUUUCUUGAGCAGAGCAUAUUGUAGGAACGAAUGGCGGAGUGCAAAAUGAAUCACGUACUCUUCUGUUUGAUGGUUCAGACCUGCAAGUCUGAAGAUGCAAGUACCAAGGCAUAGCUUAGAGUAGCCCUAAAGCUUCUUUAAGUUGUGCUUGGAAAACAGUUGUUGGACUUGAAGGGGUCAUUUUAGUGUAUUUUAAAAGCAUGUUUAUAGUUCACACCAUUUUUUCUGUAAUCACCCUAGGUAUGGUAUUGUCACAACCAAUGAUCUGACUUCUUCAGUAUCAUUUUUACUUUUAAUAAAAUUUCAAAAAUGAACCUACACAUGUCUUUUUAAUUGUCUGAGUAAGCUGCCAGAAGUAGCUCAGUCUUAGCAUGACGAUACUGUUCCUAAACUAUAAAACUAAUGUGGUAGAGACCAGAUAUUCACAGCUGCUCUGCAGUUAUUGACUAGAUGUACAGUGUUAUUAAAUUAUACACCUGCUAUCUUACAGCUCUGCCCUGGAUUUACGCUCUGUUGUGCUAGAUGCUCCACAGAGUCCUACACUUACUACAGCUAUAUAUACAGCUGUCACGUUCAGUGAUGAAUACCGAUAGUAAUAUCACAAUAUUUCCAUAGUAGUAGCUCUGUGACCUAUUAACAUAAACUGAUGGACAUGCUGGUGGGUGUUUUUUUUGCUGAUCUCCAUAAGUUGGACACCCUAAUAUGCAAAGCAUUUCUUAGCCAAAAAUUUCUGUAUGGAUUCUGAUGGUUAAAAUGAAUAAAACUCUAAAAGAAGACGUGCUAGUGGUUUCACAGAAACCUUCCCCACGAUGUCUGUUACCUGAUUCAGCAGCCAUUUCUCCAGCUGAAGAUGGAACUAAAAGAAGCAUGGAAUACUUGUCUGAAAGGAGGAUGAUUACGAAUCCAUUCAUCUGUGACUGCAGUGUUCUUUGUGUUGCUGCAGUAAAACCAUGGGUUUCUUCAGGGGAGGUUAGUGUCAUGUAAACAUUUUAAGAGUGCUUAACCAAAGAGCUGGUUUUGAUAUGAGACUGUAUUGCAGUAUAUCUCAACUCAGCCAGUUCAACUUGGGAACACGUGUGUUUAAAGGGAGUUUCUUCUAAACAUAAACUUAGGUAACUUUUAAUUAACAAAAUCGAACAUAAAAGCAUGUUUACAGUUGUGCGUAUUCUUUGUCUGGUGUACUCAGAGUAACAGAACAGUUAAUUUGAGUGUAAGAUGAUCAGUGUGUUUGAAUGAUGAUAAUGAGAAGUGAAUGUUUUUUAUGUUGUUACAGGUGGGCUGUCAGUUAAAGCUUUCUCUGGUGAUAGCAUUGUUUUGAUGGUACAAGUGAGUAGAAGUUUUGGGACAUCUCUGGAUAGCUCUCCCUGCAAAUACAAACCAAAGGUAGCCCGUUCUUUCUUUAUCGUGCUCUCUACCACAGGAGGUGGGUAUGUACUGAAUACAGGGUUAGCUGGUUCCUUGCUCUUGGUUGUGGGUGACAGGGAUUGAACAAGAAUUUUCGAUAAAGAGAACUUCCACGGGUUUGCAGAUGACGCUCAGUUUGGGAGUGGCUGAUAAACCAAAUGGCAGCGUUGUCAUCAGAGGAACUUCAACAUGCUGGACAAAUGGGCUGACAGGAACCUCAUUAAACGGAGGAAAGAGAAAUGCGAAGUUAUACACAGAGGGAGAAAUUACACCAUGUGCAUCUGAGAGGGCAACAGAGUGGAAAGUAGCUUUGCAAGGAAGGAUCUGGGAGUCCUGGUGGGCACCAAAUUGAACAUGAGCCAGAUGUGUGACAGGUCAGCAGCAUCAGGGGCUGCGUUAGGAAAAGCCAGCAAGUCAGGGAAGGUGAUCCUUCCUCUCUACUGAGCAGCAGUGAAGGUGUUGUGUCCAGUUUUGGGCUUUCCAGUACAAGAAACCCAAACUGGUACAGUUGUGGACAACCUGCUUUACUUGACCCUGCUUGGACAAAGGAGUUGGACUAGGCAAUAUCCAGUGCUUACUUCCAGCCUCGACCAGUCUAUGAGCCUGUGUAGUUCUGUUUUCCAGCUGUAGAGUGAACUGUUACUUGUUUGGGGCAGAAACAAGUGAUGGAAGGUUAUUUAAACCUACUUUAAAUGAAGAUAUUACCAGAUCUUAUGCUUCUGAUAGAGCUUAGUACAGCCCAUGUAGAGGCAAGUGAAUCAGGUAGACCUGUAUGCAAACAAGAGUGAUAAGUUGUAGACAUGCUGUCAAUAGAAAAACUCUUCAGAUACUUCAACAAGGGAGAGAAUGCCACCAAAUUGGUGAGGGGCAAAAGCCUCCCAGCACUUAGCAUGGGCACAGCCCUUUUCUUACAAAAGUCAGUAUGGAGUGACUUUUAGUUGUACUCCUGCGUGUGAAUAGUUGUGGUAAUGAAAAUUUAUGCUUUCGAGGACAUUAAAGUGCUACAGGAAACAAAGACCAUCUAACUGCUAACACGGCUUUGAGUCUUUGAAUUGCUUUUGGAAAUUGAGUGCAUCUUCUAAGCUUGAAUAUUUUUGAAAACCUAUAGAGAGCUAUCAGUCCAAGCUUCACCAUGUAACCACUUAAUGCAUUUUAUACUAAGAUAUUGAAUAUUUUAUUGACUAGUUCUGUACACAUCAGAUUUUCCAGCAAGAAAAAAAGCAAGUCUCCAUUUGGAUUUCCAGAAUACAGAAAGUUGGUAUUUAAAAUACACGCAUGACUAGAUUUUAGCCGACCUAUUUCUUCUGAUGUUUCUAUUUGCACAAAUGUAUUUGAACAACUAUUUGAAAUGUGUAUUUUUACAUGGCUUGCAUGUUCACAUGCGUGUUCUCUCCAACUCAGAUGUUUUGAUGUUUUAACUAUCUUGAUGUGAUAAAUAUAACCAGUUAAGUACUGUUUAUUACUGGCUUCUGGCAAGAAUGCCUUGAGGUGCUGGCAAAGUACCCUGCUCUAAAGACUUGCAGGCUACUGAUUCCACAUUGUCUUAUUUCUUAUACAUGAAUCCCUGAUGUGACUCCUGUCCCAAGGACACCUCAGCCGCGUACACAAAACUGAAGUCUGUUACCUGUAAGUUGGGUGGUUUGAAGAUGCAGAAAUGCAGUUGGAUGCACUGCAAAGCAGCCACUAAGUGGAUGCUGCUGACUGUGUUCCCCUGUACCUGAUUGCCAGUGCAAGCUUUCUGUCUUGCAAAAAAAAAAAAAAAAAAACGGAUAGGGCCUCAUUUAGGAAAGACUGGAGACUCAUUUUAUUGGCUUAGGGCAGUUCUUCAAUCUGUCCAUGUUGUCUGUGUCUUCACCCUUCACAGAAGCAUUGCCUGUGUCCACCUUCCAUGUCAAGAUGCCCUCAAGAUGUAGAGAAUCCAGGGACCACUCUAGAUCGAGGAGGUGGGAGCCCCAGAUCCAUGGGGCUGAAGAGGAGUGUAUGUCUGUAACAGUGCCACGUAGUGUCCUAUAGCACAGUGUUACAUCACCUUCUCCCACUGACGUGGCAGUGCCAGAAGUUUAGCAAAGUAAAAGCAGUUGAGGAGCCUGUGCUGGGGGAGAUGUCACAAGUGUGUUGUGGUGUGUUAGCCCUAGUUGUCUAUGUCCCAGCUCCUGCCUUUGUAGGCCUGGCUGGUGCACUGCAGCUUGCCCCUAGGAUUUGGUGGUCGAGGUCAGACCAGAGGAUGGCACUGGGGGACCUGGAGUGGAGGACAGGGACUUUUCCUACCACAGAUCCUUGUUGACUGGGAGGUUUGCAGUGCUCUCACCUUCCCUAGCAGCACUGGGGCACAGAGGCUGUGGUAUCUGAGGAGCCUGCUGGCCGUUUUCUUUUCUACAAGAGUCUACAGAUUUACUCCAGGCACUUGCCUGUUUUAACUGGUCUAAUGGAUCUCCACGUGGCCAUCAGCUAGGUGCCUCCUGCCCAUUGUGUGACAACUGUAAAAGCUACACAGGCUUUCAGGACUAAUGCCCUCUCCCUCAGCUGACAUGGCACACAACCUGCUGUGCAAUAGGAUCGUGAAGCAGUUGCUUCUUGCACUAUGAUCGGGUAGGUCUUGGGAUUGUGUCAUCUUCUGGCUGCGUAUUAACCCAGCUGUGCCUUCCU